GCGAGUGGCGAACGGGUGAGUAAUAUAUCGGAACGUGCCCAGUCGUGGGGGAUAACGUAGCGAAAGUUACGCUAAUACCGCAUACGAUCUAAGGAUGAAAGCGGGGGAUCGCAAGACCUCGCGCGAUUGGAGCGGCCGAUAUCAGAUUAGGUAGUUGGUGGGGUAAAGGCUCACCAAGCCAACGAUCUGUAGCUGGUCUGAGAGGACGACCAGCCACACUGGGACUGAGACACGGCCCAGACUCC
rnacentral:rRNA from 1 species